CCGGGGGCACACGGCUUACCAUCUCAGGCAGCUCUCUGGAUGCUGGCAGCAGGGUCACAGUGACUGUGAGGGACAGCGAGUGCCAGUUUGUAAGGAGAGAUGCCAAGGCGAUCGUGUGCAUCUCACCUGUCUCCACCCUGGGCCCCAGCCAGGCCCCCAUCACACUUGCCAUUGACCGGGCUAACAUCUCCAGCCCCGGGGUCAUCUACACCUACACUCAGGACCCCACCGUCACCCGCCUUGAGCCCACCUGGAGCAUCAUCAAUGGAAGCACUGCCAUCACUGUGAGUGGGACCCACCUGCUGACGGUCCAGGAGCCCCGGGUCCGUGCCAAGUACCGCGGCAUUGAGACCACCAAUGUGAGUACCAGCUGCCCCGCCCCAC
rnacentral:sRNA from 1 species